rnacentral:rRNA from 1 species
CAAAGAAUAACUUUCUUAAAAUUAAAAAUUGAAAUUUUUUUAAUUUGUGUAAAAACAAUUAUAAAAAUUAAAGACAAGAAGACCCUAAGAAUUUUUAAAAUUUAAAUUGAUACAUUUUUGUUUUAAUUAAAUUUUAACUGGGGCGGUUAAAAAAUAUUAAAAACUUUUUAAUUUUGAAAAUGAUCCAUUAUUAAUGAAAAUAUGAUAAAAUACUCUAGGGAUAACAGCGUUAUAUUUUUUGAUAGAUCAUAUUGACAAAA